AAAUAUUCGUCCACUAGUUUUAUUGUUGGAAUGAAACAUAGCAAGACUUGCAUUGCCUACUAAGAAAGUUAGUAGCCGGUAGUCAUCGGGUUAAGGGAGAAAUCGUUGGGGAUGCCGUCAAUAAUGAAGGGCGAAGCCGUAGGCAAGCGUUGAAUGGGUUGUUUUCCCGCACAUCUUCAUGGUUCGAAAUUUCGUCAAGAAAUUAAAAUAAAAAUUAUCUUUGCUCAUUUAGAAACGCUCCCUUAUAAACACUUACUUCUAUAUAUGACGUGAAUAACCAAUCGAAAGCUCCGAAUGUCCUUCUAGUGGUUUUCUUAGCCAUUUUGACGUGUUAUUAUGCUAAUUCCUUCAUUUCACGCAAGAUUUGACUUCAGACGACCAAUCUUUAAAAUGAGAGAAAACGUCUUAACGGAAACUUGGCUGAACCCUACUUUUGCUACAACACUUCUUUCAGCUGCUUGUAUUUUCUUGUUCCUUCGUUGGUUCUUAUCACGACCCAGGAACUUUCCACCAGGUCCUUUCGGUCUUCCCAUCGUCGGAUAUCUUCCUUUCCUUAGCAAAAAACCUUUUCUGGAUUU